UAAAGUUGGAAGUUUCUAUUCUUGGAGGUUUCCAUUUUCGUGAGUUUCUAUUCUCGGCUUUGGGCUUUUAGAUGACUUAAACCCUAAUUCCUUGUGAACCCUAAGCCCAAGCCGCACCCUAGGCCUUUUCCCAUGCAAAAAUCUGAUUGUAAACCCUAAUUCCUUGUGGAUUUUCUAACCCUAGCCGCACCUAAACCCUAGCCCAUUGUCUAACCUGAUUUCUUUAGGGUUUUAGGUGCCUAUAUAUAUGUGUUUUACAUCCUUUGGCCGGAUAUCACCCUCUCCAUAAUUCAGAAAUUCGUCCAGCCACUUCCCACUCUGUGCCGCAGCCAUUCUACAACUCCAGCCACCAUUCUACACUUCCAUACACCAUUCUACACCUCCAUACACCACCCAUACCCCUUGCCGCACCACCAUACCAUCCUAACUCCCUUCUAAAACCAAAAUCACAUCCAAAAACACCCUAAACCCUCUCUGCCGCAGCAAGGAGAAGAAGAAAGAGGAGCUUGAAGUCAGAAAUUCAAAGUGGAAUUCGUGGGUGUUUUAGGUGUAAUCUUUCUUAUGUCUUCGAUGUUUCAAUUCAAUAAACUUUGUGUUGUGAGUAUGAGGAACUAAACCCCCUUGGUUGGGGGGUAAUUCGAAACCAUGUACAUGCUUGCAAUUUGAUUCGAUUACAUUCAGUUGUUGUUUCAUAAGUUGUGGAUUCAAUUCGUUCAUCUAUUUGAUUGAUAACUUAUUUGUGUAUGUUGAUUGAGAGUGCA
rnacentral:lncRNA from 1 species